AGUAUUUCCAUGACAUCCCAAGCCAUGAGGUUCAUGCUGCCAUAUCCCCCUGUUUAACAAGUGUGGAAACUGAUAAUGGACUCACAAUUGCUGAUGUAUAGGUUCUAAUGUUUUCUAUUGUGGACACGGGACACCCAGACUGAGAACCAAUGGCUCCAGUCUGAUUUAAACAUGGGUCCGUGCUCACACACUCAAUACCUACCCUCUGUGCUCACAAGUCCUGUGUGAGUAAGACUCCAAAUUAUUCUGUCUUGUUUUACUCAAUGGUAUGCUCUACCUUAUUAUAGAGUAUACCAUGUAUUGAGACAAGAAUGCCAGUCAUUCUGAGAAACAAAAUGCAACCAUUAGUUGUCAUUUUAAUUAGUGACGAAUAGUUGUGUCAAUCAUCAAACAUGCUUGUAUAAUUGGAUGAGAAGAGGUGUAACACGGGCCAAUGAUGACGAGGUUUCGGGAUUAUAAGUCACGGACGAUGACUACGUCACUAGAGGUCUGAGGUCCAUAGCAGAAGAUGCCUCAUGUGACCCUCUCAUGCAGGGGUUGCAUGUCAGGCAUGUGCAUACAGUAGAUAUUAGCCAUGCACUCUCACCAUUUCAUAGUAGAUCACAGAAUCAAGAUACAAAUCUCCAUGCACGGAAAGGAUUUAAGGCAUUGAUCAAUCCUGAACAUAAAUAUUUGGCCAUCAAUGAUAUUUACGCACACACUGAAAAAUCUAUUCAGAAUGACUUACACAAAGGUUUAUAUAACCUUUAUCAAAGGUAAUUUAUAUAGUAAGAUUCAUGGCUGAAGUCUUCAUGAUGGUCAAGGCCUUAAUUUUUAAAAUUAUCAAUUUUUUUCUUUUCUUUUUUUUUAACUUGAAUUUUUUUUUAAUGAAAACUAUCAUGACAAUUUGUCUCUUAAAUGAAAGGAGAAAUGUAAAACUAAAUGGACAAAUAUCAACCUUUUUAUUAUCUUUGCUGUUGUGCCCUCCCUGGAUGGGUGCUGGCACAUGAUGUCUUGCCUGCUGGUCCGUGGUUGCACUCUCACCAUGUGGAUGGAGCUCGGCAGCUGAAAAUGCAUUCUUCCACCAAGAUGAUUUACACAGCCUAGCUGGAUCAGGAGCCCCCUAAUAAGCUGCUUCAGAUUGUAAUAUAGACACAGUAAUGUAUGCCUGCAGGAUGAGUCCCACCUUCUUCAUUAGUCUUGAGGUUUGAGAUUCCCUGUUUGUGUCUGCAGGAUUCAGAUAGUGUGAGUAUAGUCUGUGUUCUUGUGUUGGAAUUCUUUUGCUUGCAUAAAAACAGGGUAGAAAAUAUUUCUGGGGCUGGUGAGAUGGCUCAGAGGUUGAGAGCACUGACUGUUCUCCCUGAUGUCCUGAGUUCAAUUCCCAGCAACCCCAUGGUGGCUCACAACCAUCUGUAAGGGCUCUGAUGCACUCUUCUGGUGUGUCUGAUGACAGCAGCAGUGUACUCCUGUUCCUAAAAUAAAUAAUUAUUUUAAAUACAUUAUUAUCUCUGAAGAGCAGAUGUAGCCAUAGGCAUAUAAGAUGUAUAUGAAGCACAAUGUUUAAUAAAAUUUUACCAAAUUAAGAUUGUGCAACAAUAGAGAUAGGCAUCAGUGCAGAAGAUCCCGUAGAGGUUUAACUGCACUCACGGAUCUUAUAGUUAGGGCUUGUCUCCAGUGGAGAUUUUCGCAAUGGUCCUAGUCAUCCAUUGCUCAAUAAUUUUACAUAGAUUAGUAGGGAAGAGGAGGACUGAUGUUGGAUCAAUGAUGAAUGUCUGUGAGCAUUCUUAGAGUCAUGAAUCAUGACGACAAAUUUAAUUCUGAGAUCAACAUCAUAAA
rnacentral:lncRNA from 7 species